AGCGGGUCUGAGAGGAUGAUCCGCCACACUGGGACUGAGACACGGCCCAGACUCCUACGGGAGGCAGCAGUGGGGAAUAUUGGACAAUGGGCGAAAGCCUGAUCCAGCCAUGCCGCGUGUGUGAAGAAGGCCUUUUGGUUGUAAAGCACUUUAAGCGAGGAGGAGGCUACUUGGAUUAAUACUCUAGGAUAGUGGACGUUACUCGCAGAAUAAGCACCGGCUAACUCUGUGCCAGCAGCCGCGGUAAUACAGAGGGUGCGAGCGUUAAUCGGAUUUACUGGGCGUAAAGCGUGCGUAGGCGGCUUUUUAAGUCGGAUGUGAAAUCCCUGAGCUUAACUUAGGAAUUGCAUUCGAUACUGGGAAGCUAGAGUAUGGGAGAGGAUGGUAGAAUUCCAGGUGUAGCGGUGAAAUGCGUAGAGAUCUGGAGGAAUACCGAUGGCGAAGGCAGCCAUCUGGCCUAAUACUGACGCUGAGGUACGAAAGCAUGGGGAGCAAACAGGAUUAGAUACCCUGGUAGUCCAUGCCGUAAACGAUGUCUACUAGCCGUUGGGGCCUUUGAGGCUUUAGUGGCGCAGCUAACGCGAUAAGUAGACCGCCUGGGGAGUACGGUCGCAAGACUAAAACUCAAAUGAAUUGACGGGGGCCCGCACAAGCGGUGGAGCAUGUGGUUUAAUUCGAUGCAACGCGAAAAACCUUACCUGGUCUUGACAUAGUAAGAACUUUCCAAAAAUGGAUUGGUGCCUUCGGGAACUUACAUACAGGUGCUGCAUGGCUGUCGUCAACUCGUGUCCUGAGAUGUUGGGUUAAGUCCCGCAACGAACGCAACCCUUUUCCUUAUUUGCCACCGGGUUAGGCCGGGAACUUUAAGGAUACUGCCAGUGACCAACUGGAAGAAAGCCGGGGACAACGUCAAGUCAUCAUGGCCCUUACGACGAGGGCUACAACCCUGCUACAAUGGUCCGUUACGAAGGGUUGCUACCUAGCGAUAGGAUCCUAUCUCAAAAGCCGAUCGUAAUCCGGAUUGAAGUUGGGAAGUGGAGUCCCUGAAUUCCGGAUCCCUCGUAAGCCGGAAUGAAAAUGCCGGUUGAAAAGAUUUGCCGGCCCGUUUAAAAAGAACCGAUUGACCCGAAGGAAUUGUUUCCCCC
rnacentral:rRNA from 1 species